CCUACGGGAGGCAGCAGUGGGGGAUAUUGCACAAUGGGGGAAAGCCUGAUGCAGCGACGCCGCGUGGGGGAAGAAGGCUUUCGGGAUGUAAAGCUCUAUCAGCAGGGAAGAAGAAAGGACGGUAACUGAGUAAGAAGGACAGGCUAAAUACGAGCCAGACGCCGGGGUAAUACGGUGGGUGCAAGCGUUAUACGGAUUUACUGGGAUGAAAGGGACGGCAGGCGGGAAGGCAAGCCUGAUGUGAAAGCCCGCGGCCCAACCGUGGAAAUGCAUUUGGAACAGGCGGGCUUGAGUGCCGGAGAGGUAGGCGGAAUUCCUAGUGUAGCGGUGAAAUGCGUAGAUAUGAGGAGGAACACCAGUGGCGAAGGCGGCCUCCUGGACGGUGACUGACGCUGAGGCUCGAAAGCGUGGGGAGCAAACAGGAUUAGAUACCCCAGUAGUC
rnacentral:rRNA from 1 species